rnacentral:rRNA from 1 species
CCUCCUUUCUUCCUCCUUUUUUUCUCUUUCCCCCUUUUGUGCCCCCUGCUGCCGCGACGCCGCGUGGGUGAAGGAGUGCUUCGGCAUGUAAAGCCCUAUCGGCAGGGAAGAAGCAAGACGGUACCUGACUAAGAAGCCCCGGCUAACUACGUGCCAGCAGCCGCGGUAAUACGUAGGGGGCGAGCGUUAUCCGGAUUCACGGGGUGUAAAGGGAGCGUAGACGGCCAUGCAAGCCAGGGGUGAAAGCCCGGGGCCCAACCCCGGGACUGCCCUUGGAACUGCAUGGCUGGAGGGCGGGAGGGGCAGGCGGAAUUCCUGGUGGAGCGGUGAAAUGCGUAGAUAUCAGGAGGAACACCGGCGGCGAAGGCGGCCUGGUGGACUGCGACUGACGUUGAGGCUCGAAAGCGUGGGGAGCGAACAGGAUUAGAUACCCUAGUAGUC